CCUACGGGGGGCAGCAGUGAGGAAUAUUGGUCAAUGGUCGGGAGACUGAACCAGCCAAGCCGCGUGAGGGAGGAAGGUACAGAGUAUCGUAAACCUCUUUUGUCAGGGAACAAAGGCGGGGACGUGUCCCCGGAUGAGUGUACCUGAAGAAAAAGCAUCGGCUAACUACGUGCCAGCAGCCGCGGUAAAACGGAGGAUGGGAGCGUUAUCCGGAUUUAUUGGGUUUAAAGGGUGCGCAGGCGGUCUGUUAAGUCAGGGGUCAAAGCCGGGGGCACAACCCGGGCCCGCCGUUGAAACUGGCAGUCUCGAGUUGGAGAGGAGAAUGCGGAAUGGGGGGGGUAGCGGUGAA
rnacentral:rRNA from 1 species